rnacentral:rRNA from 1 species
CAGCAGCCGCGGUAAUACGUAGGUGGCAAGCGUUGUCCGGAAUUAUUGGGCGUAAAGCGCGCGCAGGCGGAUCAGUUAGUCUGUCUUAAAAGUUCGGGGCUUAACCCCGUGAUGGGAUGGAAACUGCUGAUCUAGAGUAUCGGAGAGGAAAGUGGAAUUCCUAGUGUAGCGGUGAAAUGCGUAGAUAUUAGGAAGAACACCAGUGGCGAAGGCGACUUUCUGGACGAAAACUGACGCUGAGGCGCGAAAGCCAGGGGAGCGAACGGGAUUAGAUACCCGCGUAGUCCCUGUCUCUUAUACA